UCGAACGGUUCCGACAUCCACCGUGAUUGCCUUCGGAUAUUUUGAGAUGUGCCCAUAAGGCCACCAGCCGACCCCUAUCGAAUGGAACUCAGGCAUCCACUUGGAUUUACCCGCUUGCAGCUCUCAGGGAACGUCGAUACUCACCCAUUGAGGGUAGUACGGCGCCACCCACCCCUCCUCCAAGCGAAAGGAUGAAUGAGGGACGUAACUACAAGACAAGAAAGAACCCGAUCGACCCUUGUGGGGAAAGGGCUCGGGGGCUUCCUCGCAUAAAGGGAACCGGCACUGCGUGUAAAGAACACAUAACCUAUCCCUCGAAUACUCCCGACUACAACAAUCAGGGCUAAAAGCAUUGAAGGAAUAACACCAUUUCUCCAAAAGGCUCGGGGGCUACACCCAGUGGGUGCGCUCGCGCGCACCCCCCGAAGGAAAUAAGAAGCUCCAAAACAACAAAAAUUUCCCCUUAAAAGAAAAACCUCUGAAGGAGUGCCUUCACCACUCCAGAGGCUCGGGGGCUACUGUUGGGUACCAUAAAAAUGGAUACCCAAAUUAAAGAGAUAAAAAAAACAAAAAAGAAUAAAAGCAGAACACCCAAGAUCGCCAGGGCUCGGGCGCAGGUUCCGCCUCACCCCACCCCUUGGCCUCAAGCGCAAGAUCUGACUCGCCCGACCCCUUGUCCUCGGGCGCAAGUUCCACCUCGCCCGACCCCUCUUGGGCUCGGGCGCCAAUGCUGCCUCGCCCGAGCCCCCAUCUCAGAGCCAGGCUUCCAACGCAUGGUGGCCGUACACUCAACAUGACGGACGCUAUGAUCCCCAUACCACGGCAGAGCAUGGUAGUGACUGUUCCAACCACCCCGGCC
rnacentral:lncRNA from 1 species